ACAUGCAAGUCGAGCGGAUGACGGGAGCUUGCUCCUUGAUUCAGCGGCGGACGGGUGAGUAAUGCCUAGGAAUCUGCCUGGUAGUGGGGGACAACGUUUCGAAAGGAACGCUAAUACCGCAUACGUCCUACGGGAGAAAGCAGGGGACCUUCGGGCCUUGCGCUAUCAGAUGAGCCUAGGUCGGAUUAGCUAGUUGGUGGGGUAAUGGCUCACCAAGGCGACGAUCCGUAACUGGUCUGAGAGGAUGAUCAGUCACACUGGAACUGAGACACGGUCCAGACUCCUACGGGAGGCAGCAGUGGGGAAUAUUGGACAAUGGGCGAAAGCCUGAUCCAGCCAUGCCGCGUGUGUGAAGAAGGUCUUCGGAUUGUAAAGCACUUUAAGUUGGGAGGAAGGGCAGUAAGUUAAUACCUUGCUGUUUUGACGUUACCGACAGAAUAAGCACCGGCUAACUCUGUGCCAGCAGCCGCGGUAAUACAGAGGGUGCAAGCGUUAAUCGGAAUUACUGGGCGUAAAGCGCGCGUAGGUGGUUUGUUAAGUUGGAUGUGAAAGCCCCGGGCUCAACCUGGGAACUGCAUCCAAAACUGGCAAGCUAGAGUACGGUAGAGGGUGGUGGAAUUUCCUGUGUAGCGGUGAAAUGCGUAGAUAUAGGAAGGAACACCAGUGGCGAAGGCGACCACCUGGACUGAUACUGACAC
rnacentral:rRNA from 1 species